UGAGGAAUAUUGGUCAAUGGUCGAGAGACUGAACCAGCCAAGUCGCGUGAAGGAUGACUGCCCUAUGGGUUGUAAACUUCUUUUACAAGGGAAUAAAAAGAGAUACGUGUAUUUUAUUGCAUGUACCUUGGGAAUAAGCAUCGGCUAACUCCGUGCCAGCAGCCGCGGUAAUACGGAGGAUGCGAGCGUUAUCCGGAUUUAUUGGGUGUAAAGGGUGCGUAGGUGGGCUGUUAAGUCAGCGGUGAAAGUUUGUCGCUUAACGAUAAAAUUGCCGUUGAAACUGGUAGUCUUGAGUAUAGAUGAAGUAGGCGGAAUGCGUGGUGUAGCGGUGAAAUGCAUAGAGAUCACGCAGAACUCCGAUUGCGAAGGCAGCUUACUAAGGUAUAACUGACACUGAAGCACGAAAGCGUGGGUAUCAAACAGG
rnacentral:rRNA from 1 species